UUUCCCUGCCAGAGCGCCCUGGACGCUGCGGGGCGAGGCUCUCGCGGGCGCGCGCGGGUCGCUGGGACCCGCCGUCCGGCGUCCCCGCACCUGGAAAGCCCUGGAAGUCGGGCCGCCACGCCUCGCCCCGGCUCUAGCAGAUAAACAGCUGCCUGAAGGGGACUGACUUCCUGACCACUCUCUCCACUUUUCCAGGGCUAUUUCUCCCGGUCCUCUCCAGAGCGUUUGCCAAUCUCCCCGACACUAGGCGGCGAAGCGAGGGGGGGGAAAAAGCCCAGUUUCCUGAUUUCUUUCCGCCGCUAACCCCCCUUUUCGUCCAGGAACGUCGGGCACCGAGUCUCCGGGCCGCUGGAGCCCUUGGGGGCGCGAAGCGGAGUCCCCGCCCGGGUGGCCGUUCCACGCCGAGCCCAGCAGGUCUCCGCGGAGUUGGUGCACCCGGCCGAGGCGCGGAAAGAUGGUUUCUAGGCAAAACCUUCGUAAAAUGGAAACUUAGCACCUGUGAAACUUGCCAUGGGCUCCAUAUAGAUUACAGAAGUUUAUUCAAAAAGACCAAAGCUCAUGGAGAUUCCUCAAGAAAUUAAAAAUAGAGCUUCCCUAUGACCCUGCAAUUGCACUCCUGGGUAUUUACCCCAAAGACACAGAUGUCGUGAAAA
rnacentral:lncRNA from 1 species